CGCUGGCGGCAUGCCUUACACAUGCAAGUCGAACGGCAGCACGGGAGCAAUCCUGGUGGCGAGUGGCGAACGGGUGAGUAAUAUAUCGGAACGUGCCCGGUCGUGGGGAUAACGUAGCGAAAGCUACGCUAAUACCGCAUACGAUCUACGGAUGAAAGCGGGGGAUCGCAAGACCUCGCGCGAUUGGAGCGGCCGAUAUCAGAUUAGGUAGUUGGUGAGGUAAAGGCUCACCAAGCCGACGAUCUGUAGCUGGUCUGAGAGGACGACCAGCCACACUGGGACUGAGACACGGCCCAGACCCCUACGGGAGGCAGCAGUGGGGAAUUUUGGACAAUGGGCGCAAGCCUGAUCCAGCAAUGCCGCGUGCAGGAUGAAGGCCUUCGGGUUGUAAACUGCUUUUGUACGGAACGAAACGGUGAGCUCUAAUACAGUUUGCUAAUGACGGUACCGUAAGAAUAAGCACCGGCUAACUACGUG
rnacentral:rRNA from 1 species